GACACGGUGACUUAGUGUUUAGAAUGUUUGCCUCGCACCUCCGGGGUUGGGGGUUCGAAUCCCACCUUUGCCC